UAUUUUAAAAUAAUUUUUGUUUGCAAUGCAAAAAAUCUAUAUAAAUCUUGUGAUGCGCGGUGACGGCGUUCAACUUAAAACUUUAGUCAGAUAGUCAGCGCCAAGCGCUUACCAAGGAAGGACGUAUCGCUCGCUGUUGCGCCGCGUAAACUCGCCGGAGUUCGAAAAAUAUAGCGCAACUAACACGUUUUGAUACAACAUAAUUCAAUCAUGGGAAAAAGAGACAAACGAAGAAUAUUCGGUGCUGUCAGAAUUAAAAAAAAAGUUUUGGCCGAUAAUUUAAAACGCGCAAGAGAAGCUCAGUGGCAAAAAAGAGCUCAAAUGCAGCAGGAGC